AUCAAUGAUAUAACUAAUUAUUCAUUCAUGUAACUAGUUAUUUUUCUCAUAUAACUAGUUUUUUUUUCGUAUAACUAAUUAUGUAUGGUCACAGGAACUACUGGACUUGGGCAUUGCCGACAUCCAAAUGCAAGUUUAGAAUUUUCUUCUCGAAAUCGGUAAUCGGGUCCUUUACAUUUACAUUUUACUUCCUCUUUAUGCCACUUCAACCAAACUUCAGUAUCUCCCAUCACUCUAUAGUCAAUGAUUGGAGUUCUACAAUGUUCAUCCAUUUGACUCUAGCAGCUUCUUCAAAAGUGGGGCAGGAGGAAUGGGUUGGUUAACAGAUAAACCGAAUCUGACUCGACCAUUCAAUCCCCCCAAUCAAGCAAGUAAGUGAACACAUUCAUCCGGUUUUAAUCAUAUCAAGCCAAAUUACAUGACCAUGACCGAAAUUUUGGUCAGUUUCAGUUCGAACCGAAACAAAGAAACGGCCUUUUGGUUCAAGCAAACUAGCCAACUCCAUCAGCAUCAAUCUUCUUUAGCAAUGUGGCCAUAUGGGGGCAUUAACUGAGAUCAUGGAUGAGGCAGAAAGUCUUUUUCCUGGAAAUUUUUUAACUGACUUUUAUUGCGAGGACCCCAAGUUGAUUCACCUGAGGAGUACUUAGAUUCAAUGAACCUAGUCAAAAGAGUUGAUCCCUUUGAUAAAAGUUGUAUUCUUCUCUGUUUAUUGUUCCGUAGAAUAGCUCAGUGGGUAAAGUUGAGUGCAGGAGAUCGGAUAUACCAAAUUCUUUCAAUGAUGUGACUAAUUCACUAGUUUCUUCCUGGAAAUGCAGGAUCAGUAGCACCCAAUUGGAUUUUAACCAUGGAAUCUGGAUAAAGAUUGCAGCUUUAUAGGGAUAUUUCAAUCUGUAGAUCUACCAACAUGUCAAUUAGUUGAGAUGAAAACAGAACACAAAAGGGGGGCGACAGAACAGAACUCAUCUCUAAAAACCAUCCUGGAUUCUCUACAACAAUCUCACCAC
rnacentral:lncRNA from 1 species